GCCGUUUUUCUCCACCCUUUCCCCCCAUCUUCUUCUUCUUCUUUUCUCCCUCAGCAGCCGUUCUGAACUCGAAUGAAGGAUCCAGACCACCGACGAAAGAAGCCUAAGGACUCGACCACAAACGAAAUAGACCUAGGACCUCCUCAAACAAACCGAGACCCCUCAAAUGACCAAAACGUUCCCUAAUGUUCUCCGACACCCUCUGAAAAUAGGGUAAAUAAACGUGAACCAACGAGACCCUCCCCUCCGACCACCGUUAGGAACCACCGAGGAAACCUAAACGACCGAAGACCGAAGACCCAACUCCACUGUUAUUUUAGUGCCCCGAAAAUCUCGACUCCGACGACUACUAAAAGACUCUAGCGGGGACCCGAACGGCUAAGGCGGAGCCACCGAGACCCUACUGUCGUUUACACAACCAAGGGCAUGGGGUCUUCACGAGGGAGCAUGGGCAGCAUGGGUGGUCUUCACGUAGGCGUUGUAGUGUUUCACAUAUUUCACAUAAUAUUUCUCAUUACCUAAGAAGUUAUCCACUAUCUCUAUUCGGUUAAAUCAGGUUCCCUACAAGGAGCAGCGUUGAAAUUAGACAUGGAGAAGGCCUACGAUCAAGUUGAGUGGUCAUUUUUGCAUGAAAUGCUACUUCACCUCAGAUUUGAUUCUAAUUGGUGUCUUUCAUUAUGACAUGCGUUACCACUUCCACCUUUUGCGUGAGCAUCAAUGGUAGUUUGUCCGAGGAGUUUUGUCGGGAGCGUGACCUCCUUCAAGGUUGACCCCCUUUAAUUGUUCCUAUUUAUUUGUUGUACUCAAAGUUUAUCUUCACUAUUGAAUCAAGAGCAGCGGUGGGGUGGUACUCGUGGACUCCGGGUGUCAGAAAAUGGUCUUCGCAUUCCUCACCUAUUAUUUGCUUACGAUAAUAUGUUAUUCCUUUGCUUCCCCAAGGGUGAAUUUCGUCAGUUGCGUGCAUUAUUGGGUUUGUAUGGAAAUGCUUCUGGGAAGAAAGUUAAUCUUGCUAUGUCCCACGCCUACUUUAGUCCUCACAAACCCACGACUGCCCCAUCGGAUCUCUAUGGUAUUCUUGAGGUCAUUCAAGUGGAUUCUACAAGAAAGUACUUGAGCAUGCCACU